rnacentral:rRNA from 1 species
AAAACAUUGUCUCAUGAAAUAAAUAUGAGAUAAUACCUGCCCAGUGACGUUGUUCAACGGCCGCGGUAUCCUAACCGUGCAAAGGUAGCAUAAUCACUUGCCUAUUAAUUGUAGGCUAGAAUGAAGGGGUUAACGAAAUAAAAGCUGUCUCAAUUAAUCACCUAAAAAUUAUUCUCUACCUUAAGAAACGUAGAUACUCUCGAAGGACAAGAAGACCCUAUAGAGCUUAAUUUAAAUUAUAGAUACACUAUAAAAUAAUUCGGUUGGGGCGACCCAGGGCUUAAUAAUCACCCAUCAAACAAAAGAUAAAUACAUCAAACAAGUGACCCUAUUAAGAUCAUUAAAUCAAGCUACCUUAGGGAUAACAGGCUAAUCCCACUUAAGAGUUCUUAUCAAAAGUGGGGUUUGGCACCUCGAUGUUGGCUUAGGGUAUCUAUAUAGCGCAAAAGCUACAUAAAGAUGGUUUGUUCAACCAGUAAUUCCCUACGUGAUCUG